rnacentral:sRNA from 1 species
GAUUAGCAGUACAGGCACUCAGACUGACCUUUGGCAGCCAGAUCCCAUGUAAAUAAAGGUGACAUCCUGGUGGUUGCAACUGGUCGGCCUGAAAUGGUUAAAGGGGAGUGGAUCAAACCUGGGGCAAUAGUCAUCGACUGUGGAAUCAAUUAUGUGCCAGAUGAUAAAAAACCAAACGGGAGAAAAGUUGUGGGUGAUGUGGCAUACGACGAGGCCAAAGAGAGGGCGAGCUUCAUCACUCCUGUUCCUGGCGGCGUAGGGCCCAUGACAGUUGCAAUGCUCAUGCAGAGCACAGUAGAGAGUGCCAAGCGUUUCCUGGAGAAAUUUAAGCCAGGAAAGUGGAUGAUUCAGUAUAACAACCUUAACCUCAAGACACCUGUUCCAAGUGACAUUGAUAUAUCACGAUCUUGUAAACCAAAGCCCAUUGGUAAGCUGGCUCGAGAAAUUGGUCUGCUGUCUGAAGAGGUAGAAUUAUAUGGUGAAACAAAGGCCAAAGUUCUGCUGUCAGCACUAGAACGCCUGAAGCACCGGCCUGAUGGGAAAUACGUGGUGGUCACUGG